AACCCCUGUUGUUAGUUGCCAGCGAUUCGGUCGGGCACUCUAACGAGACUGCCGGUGGUAAGCCGGAGGAAGGUGGGGAUGACGUCAAAUCCUCACUUGGCCUUAUGCCCAGGGCUACACACGUACUACAAUGGUCGGUACAAAGGGCUGCGACCCCGCGAGGGUGAGCCAAUCCCAAAAAGACCGAUCGUAGUCCGGAUUGUUCUCUGCAACUCGAGAGCAUGAAGUCGGAAUCGCUAGUAAUCGCAGGUCAGCAUACUGCGGUGAAUACGUUCCCGGGUCUU
rnacentral:rRNA from 1 species